rnacentral:rRNA from 1 species
GAUGAACGCUGGCGGCGUGCCUAAUACAUGCAAGUCGAGCGAACGGACGAGAAGCUUGCUUCUCUGAUGUUAGCGGCGGACGGGUGUGUAACACGUGGAUAACCUACCUAUAAGACUGGGAUAACUUCGGGAAACCGGAGCUAAUACCGGAUAAUAUUUUGAACCGCAUGGUUCAAAAGUGAAAGACGGUCUUGCUGUCACUUAUAGAUGGAUCCGCGCUGCAUUAGCUAGUUGGUAAGGUAACGGCUUAUCACGGCAACGAUGCGUAGCCGACCUGAGAGAGGGAUCGGCCGCACGAGAGGGGGGACGCGGUCAAGACGCCUACGAGAGGCAGCAGUAGGGUAUCGUACGCAGUGGGCGAAAGCAUGACGGAGUAGCGCGGCGUGAGUGGUGGAGAUCUUCGGAGCGUAAUACUCUGUUAUUAGGGAAGAACAUAUGUGUAAGGAGAUGUGCACAUCUUGACGGUAACUAGUCAGAAAGCAACGGCUAACUACGUG